rnacentral:rRNA from 1 species
GAAUUCGCCCUUAGAGUUUGAUCCUGGCUCAGGACGAACGCUGGCGGCGCGCCUAACACAUGCAAGUCGAACGAGAGAUGAGGAGCUUGCUCUUCAAAUCGAGUGGCGAACGGGUGAGUAACGCGUGAGGAACCUGCCUCAAAGAGGGGGACAACAGUUGGAAACGACUGCUAAUACCGCAUAAGCCCACAGCUCGGCAUCGAGCAGAGGGAAAAGGAGCAAUCCGCUUUGAGAUGGCCUCGCGUCCGAUUAGCUAGUUGGCGAGGUAACGGCCCACCAAGGCGACGAUCGGUAGCCGACCUGAGAGGGUGAUCGGCCACACUGGAACUGAGAGACGGUCCAGACUCCUACGGGAGGCAGCAGUGGGGAAUAUUGGGCAAUGGGCGAAAGCCUGACCCAGCAACGCCGCGUGAGGGAAGAAGGUUUUCGGAUUGUAAACCUCUGUCCUAUGGGACGAAGGACGUGACGGCACCAUAGGAGGAAGCCCCGGCUAACUACGUGCCAGCAGCCGCGGUAAUACGUAGGGGGCGAGCGUUGUCCGGAAUGACUGGGCGUAAAGGGCGUGUAGGCGGCUUUUUAAGUCUGGAGUGAAAGCCCCGCUUUUAAGGUGGGGAGUGCUUUGGAGACUGGAGAGCUUGAGUGCGGAAGAGGUAAGUGGAAUUCCCAGUGUAGCGGUGAAAUGCGUAGAGAUUGGGAGGAACACCAGUGGCGAAGGCGACUUACUGGGCCGUAACUGACGCUGAGGCGCGAAAGCGUGGGGAGCGAACAGGAUUAGAUACCCUGGUAGUCCACGCUGUAAACGAU